rnacentral:rRNA from 1 species
CUACAAAGGAAUUGACGGGACCGCACAAGCGGUGGAGCAUGUGGUUAAUUCGACGCAACGCGAAGAACCUUACCAGGGCUUGACAUCCCCUGACCGCGUAUGAAAGUACGUUUUCACCCUCGGGUGACAGGGAGACAGGUGGUGCAUGGUUGUCGUCAGCUCGUGUCGUGAGAUGUUGGGUUAAGUCCCGCAACGAGCGCAACCCCUACGUUUAGUUGCUAACAGGUGAAGCUGAGCACUCUAGACGAACUGCCGUUGACAAAACGGAGGAAGUGGGGAUGACGUCAAAUCAUCAUGCCCCUUAUGUUCUGGGCUACACACGUGCUACAAUGGCCGGUACAGACGGAGGCGAAGCCGCGAGGCGGAGCAAAUCCGAAAAAGCCGGUCUCAGUUCGGAUUGCAGGCUGCAAUUCGCCUGCAUGAAGUCGGAAUCGCUAGUAAUCGCAGGUCAGCAUACUGCGGUCGAAUACGUUCCCGGGCCUU